UGCAUGGUUGUCGUCAGCUUGUGUCGUGAGAUGUUGGGUUAAGUCCCGCAACGAGCGCAACCCUCGCCUCUAGUUGCCAGCAUUCGGUUGGGCACUCUAGAGGGACUGCCGGCGACAAGUCGGAGGAAGUGGGAUGACGUCAAAUCAUCAUGCCCCUUAUGACCUGGGCUACACACGUGCUACAAUGGGCGGUACAAAGGGCUGCGAACCCGCGAGGGGGAGCGAAUCCCAAAAAGCCGCUCUCAGUUCGGAUUGCAGGCUGCAACUCGCCUGCAUGAAGCCGGAAUCGCUAGUAAUCGCGGAUCAGCAUGCCGCGGUGAAUACGUUCCCGGGCCUU
rnacentral:rRNA from 1 species